UACAGAGGGUGCGAGCGUUGCUCGGAAUUAUUGGGCGUAAAGGGCGCGUAGGCGGUGCCACAAGUCACCUGUGAAAUCCCCGGGCUUAACUCGGGGCCUGCAGGCGAAACUGUGGUGCUGGAGUAUGGGAGAGGUGCGUGGAAUUCCCGGUGUAGCGGUGAAAUGCGUAGAUAUCUGGAGGAAUACCGGUGGCGAAGGCGGCAUCCUGGACCAUUACUGACGCUGAGGCGCGAAAGCUAGGGGAGCAAACGGG
rnacentral:rRNA from 1 species